ensembl:lncRNA
GUGAGGCUGCCGUUCCGAGGGCUGACGGACUGGGGACGGAAGGGAGCAACAGUCAGUCCCUGAGUCACUAGUUCUCAACUCACCCCCAAUCGCUUACUGAGCAUCAUUGUGUAAACCACGUGGACGCAAAGAGAAAGAGGACGUGGUCCUGCCCUCGCAGCGCCCGGCCCGUCUGCCCCAGCAACGACCUGGGGCCACCUGGAAGGAAGCACAGGGGCCUGAGAAAGCAGCUGGACUCUGCCCGGCAGGCGGGACCGGCGGGCCUCCCGGAGGAGGGGCCCCUCGAGCUGCGCAGAGGGGAGGGGAGGAGAGCUCUGCCAGCGCCGCAAGGGACCCGAGAGCCGUCAACUCACACACAUUUCCUGAGCACCUACUCUGUGCCAGGCACUGUCCUCUCGGUGAACGAAGGCCGACGAACACGCUUGCCCGGAGGGAGGGUGCCGCGCUUUGGCGGGCGGGUGGUGGCCGUGCACACAGAUGGACGGAAACCCUGCGAUGCGGGAGGGUGCUUCGGGGAAAAGCAAAAGCAGAGCAGGGGCAGCGGGCCUGGACGCGGUCGGGGCCAGCCGAAAAUCUGAGAAAGCCUCGCGGAUGCUUUGCCCAGGGCUCUGAGCGCUUACGGAGGCCCCGGGGAUGAAAGGGCCACCGUCCCGCAGCUGCAGGCAGCGUGCCGUGUCGGCAGGACGCGCCAGCCGGGCCAGGACCGGGGGAUAUAGUGAUGAAGAACACAACUACUGCACGGGGUCCAGGGUCUAAUAGACUAGGAGGGCAGCCUUUACCCCACCCUGAGGUUAACCACAGAGCCUGGAGGUGCUUUCACCAGGCAGGUGUGGCGUGUAAAGGGGGACCGAGGCCUGGGCAGGAUGCUUCAUGAGGAAGGACACCUGAGGACUGUCACCGAAGCCACGUGGGUGCAGCUCAGGAUACCCAAACCUGCCUGGCUGGUCUGCACCCAGCUGGACAGUGACCGUUCUAGCUGCUUCCCUGGAGGCCUGCUGACCUGGACAGGCGAGCCAGCGAAGCAAACGGCAGAAGAGAACUGAGGCCUCCCAAGGCCUCGUGAUGGCACGCAGCUGCACGGCUCACCCGAGCGAGCGGACGAGCUGACCUCGGCAAGGCACGGCUGGCCCUGCCACCUGGGGGCUUAAAGACACACCUCUGCCUCAAACCAACUUGAUCAGAAUCUCAGGAGUCAGCCCCAGCGCCAUGGUGAAUUUUUACAAAGGGCCCCAAAGGACUCCAAGGCCCGGCCAGGGCUGGGAGGCGCGGAUGAAAGGAUGCCUUCUCUGGACACAGAGGCCAGACAACUGCUCGCAGGGUUUGUCUCCUAGGAGCUGGGGCUCUUCUUUGGACGAUGUGUGGGGACAAAGGGAGCCCGAGAGGCAAACCCUCCCUCUUCCUGGGAAGCCUGAACCCUGACGGCGGGGAAGACUGGAAGCUGCCCCAUCGGGGUCUGUCAACAACCACUGAGUGCCCGUGCACUCCCCUGCCAGAGACAGCACCCACGCCUCUCAUGAUCGGAUUCAAAAACUUCACACCCUUAACACUCGCACAGAAGAAAGUCGGCCAACAAGCAGAGGCACUUAGCUUCUUGGGGGUGGAUUUUAUCGUGCGGGAGGUUUCCAGGUCUGCAGGGGCUGCUGCUCAUUUGCUGUCCUCUAGCACCACCUUGUGGUCCAUCCUGACAUGACCCCACACUCACCUCCUCUCAAAUUUGACAAGCGCCAGGAUCGCUUCUAAACCCGUUAGCUCACUUUACCCUCACAAUAACUGCUGAAAUAGGUAUUGCCACAACCAAAUGGAAACUGAGGCAGAGUGCUGGGAAAGGCACUCAGCCGCCUAAGAAUGGGCCUCGGGGCUGGGACAUGUC